UGGGGAAUUUUGGACAAUGGGCGAAAGCCUGAUCCAGCAAUGCCGCGUGUGUGAAGAAGGCCUUCGGGUUGUAAAGCACUUUUGUCCGGAAAGAAAUCCUUGGCUCUAAUACAGUCGGGGGAUGACGGUACCGGAAGAAUAAGCACCGGCUAACUACGUGCCAGCAGCCGCGGUAAUACGUAGGGUGCAAGCGUUAAUCGGAAUUACUGGGCGUAAAGCGUGCGCAGGCGGUUUGCUAAGACCGAUGUGAAAUCCCCGGGCUCAACCUGGGAACUGCAUUGGUGACUGGCAGGCUAGAGUAUGGCAGAGGGGGGUAGAAUUCCACGUGUAGCAGUGAAAUGCGUAGAGAUGUGGAGGAAUACCGAUGGCGAAGGCAGCCCCCUGGGCCAAUACUGACGCUCAUGCACGAAAGCGUGGGGGAGCAAAACAGGAUUAGAUACCCUGGUAGUCCACGCCCUAAACGAUGUCAACUAGUUGUUGGGGAUUCAUUUCCUUAGUAACGUAGCUAACGCGUGAAGUUGACCGCCUGGGGAGUACGGUCGCAAGAUUAAAACUCAAAGGAAUUG
rnacentral:rRNA from 1 species